rfam:Sus scrofa isolate TJ Tabasco breed Duroc chromosome 14, whole genome shotgun sequence.
GCUGAUGCUGGUGGUGAUACCAGUGGUGUGAGCUGGAAAUGGGGUGCUAAGUCAUCGUUGUCAUUGUCAUCAUCAUCUGA